rnacentral:rRNA from 1 species
UAAUACCCCGUGAAACUGACGGUACCUGCAGAAUAAGCACCGGCUAACUACGUGCCAGCAGCCGCGGUAAUACGUAGGGUGCAAGCGUUAAUCGGAAUUACUGGGCGUAAAGCGUGCGCAGGCGGUUCGGAAAGAAAGAUGUGAAAUCCCAGAGCUUAACUUUGGAACUGCAUUUUUAACUACCGAGCUAGAGUGUGUCAGAGGGAGGUGGAAUUCCGCGUGUAGCAGUGAAAUGCGUAGAUAUGCGGAGGAACACCGAUGGCGAAGGCAGCCUCCUGGGAUAACACUGACGCUCAUGCACGAAAGCGUGGGGAGCAAACAGGAUUAGAUACCCUGGUAGUCCACGCCCUAAACGAUGUCAACUAGCUGUUGGGGCCUUCGGGCCUUAGUAGCGCAGCUAACGCAUGAAGUUGACCGCCUGAUGAGUACGGUCGCAAGAUUAAAACUCAAAGGAAUUGACAGGGAGUCGCACAAUUAUUGGAUG